rnacentral:rRNA from 1 species
GAAGAAGCGAAAGUGACGGUACCUGCAGAAGAAGCGCCGGCUAACUACGUGCCAGCAGCCGCGGUAAUACGUAGGGCGCAAGUGUUAUCCGGAAUUAUUGGGCGUAAAGAGCUCGUAGGCGGUUUGUCGCGUCUGCCGUGAAAGUCCGGGGCUCAACUCCGGAUCUGCGGUGGGUACGGGCAGACUAGAGUGAUGUAGGGGAGACUGGAAUUCCUGGUGUAGCGGUGAAAUGCGCAGAUAUCAGGAGGAACACCGAUGGCGAAGGCAGGUCUCUGGGCAUUAACUGACGCUGAGGAGCGAAAGCAUGGGGAGCGAACAGGAUUAGAUACCCUGGUAGUCCAUGCCGUAAACGUUGGGCACUAGGUGUGGGGGACAUUCCACGUUUUCCGCGCCGUAGCUAACGCAUUAAGUGCCCCGCCUGGGGAGUACGGCCGCAAGGCUAAAACUCAAAGGAAUUGACGGGGGCCCGCACAAGCGGCGGAGCAUGCGGAUUAAUUCGAUGCAACGCGAAGAACCUUACCAAGGCUUGACAUGGACCGGACCGCCGCAGAAAUGUGGUUUCCCCUUUGGGGCUGGUUUACAGGUGGUGCAUGGUUGUCGUCAGCUCGUGUCGUGAGAUGUUGGGUUAAGUCCCGCAACGAGCGCAACCCUCGUUCCAUGUUGCCAGCGCGUAAU